CUCCAGACAGCAGAAGCGCCGGGAUUUCCAUGCAGCUGCCACGACAGGCUAGAUGGCAAAGCAACAGCGGCGGCCGAGGCGCUCGGGUCGGUCGUUGUCCUCGCGCCGCGCCCUCACGAAGCGCCCCCACAGAGGCCCACCGCGCCCCUGCCCGCCUCGGCCGAGCCCGGCGCCCGCCCGCCGCGCCCACCACGCCCGCCGGCGCCGGCACAGGGGCCCGACACGAGAGACGCCGGUGGGAGCUCCGAGAGUGCUCCGGGCCGCCGCGCCCGGUGACAGCGGUCCCCGCGCCGCCUCACCUCCUGGGCGGCCGUGGCAGCGGCCCCGCAGCUCUCCUCUCCUCUCCGCCUCCGCCUCCAGCAGCCCCGCACCGCCGCCUCCUCCCCCCGCGUCUCUGGCAAGUCUCCGCCUCCCUCGGCCGCCGCCGGUCCGGCUGCGCGCCACGUGACCGCGCCACGUGACCCGGCGCGGCGAGCGGCGCCUUCCCGCUAGCCUGCCCGGACCCGCGCGCUGGCCAUUGGCGCUGCCCAGGCCGUCGGCCCUGCUCCGCCUUGCGCUGGGGUGCGGGAUACCACCCUGGCUCUUCCCCCACACCCGGCUGAGCUCACCUCUCGAGCUGCGGGGACGGGAAUGGGAGCGGCCGCCCAGCAGAGCCCCACCCCCACCCAGAGACUGCUCCCCCAGCCGCGCCGCCUCCCGCCUCGCCGCUCACUUGCGCGCGCGCACUCACACGCACACCCUCGCGCGCGCAUCCCGUAGCUCUCGCCCGCUAGACCGCGGCUGGACGGCUGUGAGGACAGUCUGAGGAAGAGUCGGCGGAACCUCGCCCACAAGAGGAACCCUUAUACCAGAUUCGUGCGCAGUCCGAACUCAGUUUGAGCCGGAAGUGGACAUCACGUCGUGUCUUAAGCUGCGAGCUUCCAGAGAGAACAGAUUUGCUUGUACUAUGGACUAGCGUGGGUCCCCAUGAAAAGUCUUUGAAGUGUUUGAUGGUGAUGAUCUCACAGAGUAUCUCUUUUCCAGUUCGUUUUAUGGAGAAACGAGCUGAUAGCGUCAUUUUAACUCACAAAAGCUGGAACUCAGCCGGCUCCCCCACCCCACCCCGUGUUCUGCUAAGAACGGAAACUUUAGUCAUCCCUUUCAUUUUCCAUCAUUACAAAGAAAUAGCGUUGCAGAUUUUGGGACUAUGCGUAUGUGUAUUUUAAACUAAAAAAUAGACAAGCAUUUUUUCCUUGAUUUGAGGCACAGUUAAGAAUAGUAGCCACUCUGCAACUUUCUUCUGCCAUGAGCCUCUGUCAUGCUGUCCUGCCUUGGAGCCAGCUGACUAUGAACUCAGCUAACUAUGAAAUCUCAGCAAACUGUCUUUGUGGACUUACAAUUUACCAAAUGAAGACACUGAAACCCCAAGACAGUGGUGGCAAACCUAUGGCACGUGUGCUGCAGCCAGCUGUUUGUUAUCAUUCAAAGUUCUAAAAGGUUCACCAUCACUGCCAUAAGACAAAACUUUAAAAAGAGAUACAG
rnacentral:lncRNA from 1 species